rnacentral:misc_RNA from 1 species
GUGAAUCAUCGAAUUUUUGAACGCAAAUUGCACUCUCCUCGGAGAGCAUGCCUGUUUGAUGGUCAGCCUAUAAAAAAUCGACAUCGUUGCUGUUUUACGGUGACGUUCGUCGGGAAUUGGGUCAUCUUAAAUCUUUUGGGUUUAAGCGACUUAAAAUUUUCUUUUUGGUUCCUUGAACGUCUCUAAGAUUUAUUUCUUUAAACUUUUAAGGUAUCGAUUUUUAUUAGACGUGGCCAUCAUAUCGGAUCGCGUCCAUAAUCUUUCCUUAACUGACCUUAGCACGG